rnacentral:rRNA from 1 species
CCUACGGGAGGCAGCAGUAGGGAAUCUUGCGCAAUGGGCGAAAGCCUGACGCAGCCAUGCCGCGUGAAUGAUGAAGGUCUUAGGAUUGUAAAAUUCUUUCACCGGGGACGAUAAUGACGGUACCCGGAGAAGAAGCCCCGGCUAACUUCGUGCCAGCAGCCGCGGUAAUACGAAGGGGGCUAGCGUUGCUCGGAAUUACUGGGCGUAAAGGGAGCGUAGGCGGAUAGUUUAGUCAGAGGUGAAAGCCCAGGGCUCAACCUUGGAACUGCCUUUGAUACUGGCUAUCUUGAGUAUGGGAGAGGUGAGUGGAACUCCGAGUGUAGAGGUGAAAUCGUAGAUAUUCGGAAGAACACCAGUGGNGAG